rnacentral:tRNA from 1 species
GGACGACCCGGUCGUUCGGGCGGGGAACGCUGUCCUGAUAAGACAGAGGUCGGAGGUUCGAUCCCUCCGUCGCCCA